rnacentral:rRNA from 1 species
AGAGUUUGAUCCUGGCUCAGGAUGAACGCUGGCGGUAUGCCUAACACAUGCAAGUCGUACGAGAGUUUUUAACUCUAGUGGCGGACGGGUGAGUAACACGUAAGAAUUUACCUUCAGGAGGGGGAUAACAAUUGGAAACAAAUGCUAAUACCCCAUAUGCUUUCGAGUGAAAUGGAUUUAUAUUUAUCCGCCUAAAGAGAAGCUUGCGUCUGAUUAGCUUGUUGGUAAGGUAAAAGCUUACCAAGGCGACGAUCAGUAUCUGGUUUGGGAGGACGAUCAGACACACUGGAACUGAGACACGGUCCAGACUCCUACGGGAGGCAGCAGUGGGGAAUUUUCCGCAAUGGGCGAAAGCCUGACGGAGCAAUACCGCGUGAGGGAAGACUGCCUAUGGGUUG